UACAGAGGUGGCAAGCGUUGUUCGGAUUUAUUGGGCGUAAAGGGUCCGUAGGCGGUCUGGAAAGUCGGUGGUGAAAUCCCACAGCUUAACUGUGGAACUGCCUUCGAAACUUCCAGACUUGAGUGUGAGAGGGGUAAAGAGAAUUCCCGGUGUAAGGGUGAAAUCUGCAGAGAUCGGGAAGAAUACCAGUCGCGAAGGCGCUUUACUGGCUCACAACUGACGCUCAGGGACGAAAGCUAGGGUAGCAAACGGG
rnacentral:rRNA from 1 species